rnacentral:rRNA from 1 species
UACGGAGGGUGCGAGCGUUGUCCGGAAUCACUGGGCGUAAAGGGCGCGUAGGCGGCUACUUAAGCGUGUGGUGAAAGUCCGGGGCUCAACCCCGGAUCGGCCGUGCGAACUGGGAAGCUCGAGCCCACUAGAGGCAGGCGGAAUUCCGGGUGUAGCGGUGGAAUGCGUAGAGAUCCGGAAGAACACCGAUGGCGAAGGCGGCCUGCUGGGGUGGAGCUGACGCUGAGGCGCGACAGCGUGGGGAGCAAACAGG